rnacentral:rRNA from 1 species
GCCCUAGAUGUUCUGGGCCGCACGCGCGCUACACUGAACAGUUCAACAAGUCUUAACCUUGGCCGAUAGGUCUGGGUAAUCUUUGAACGCUGUUCGUGAUUGGGAUAGACCUUUGCAAUUAUGGGUCUUCAACGAGGAAUUCCUAGUAAACGCAAGUCAUCAGCUUGCAUUGAUUACGUCCCUGCCCUUUGUACACACCGCCCGUCGCACCUACCGAUUGAAUGGUCCGGUGAAAUCUCGGGACGGCGGCUUGGUCGCUUGCGUCCGACUGCUGAAACUUGAUUAAACCAUAUCAUUUAGAGGAAGGUGAANUCGUAACA